UACCAGCACCCCGAGUGGUCGGGACGUUUAUUGGGCCUAAAGCGUCCGUAGCCGGUUCUGCAAGUCUCCCGUUAAAUCCAACUGCUCAACAGGUGGGCUGCGGAGGAUACUACAGAGCUAGGAGGCAGGAGAGGCAAGCGGUACUCAAUGGGUAGGGGUAAAAUCCGUUGAUCCAUUGAAGACCACCAGUGGCGAAGGCGGCUUGCCAGAAUGCGCUCGACGGUGAGGGAUGAAAGCUGGGGGAGCAAACCGG
rnacentral:rRNA from 1 species